GGAAAAACUCCAAAAUGUUCUUGUAAAGCAAGCUUAAUAUAGUAAAAACCUUCUUGGAAUCGGCGUGAAGAGAAGAAACCCAUCUUGGGUUCUUGGCUUAUAAGAAUUUAAUCUCAUACGGACAUCAGCAAUGAUGCCAACUUUGAUAUUCUGGCAGCAUAAGGAUAAGGGUAAUUUGGGGAAUUUAGAAAAUUUCAGAAGGGUAUUAUUGGAAUCAAUGUGAGUCCCACUGUCAUUAUCUGGAUUUCAUAAGGUUGACAAAUAAAUUAUUUUGUUAUGGUUUCAAUGUUUUUAUACAAUAAUUUCAUAGUUUGAAUUGUUUAUAUGUGAUAUAUGUGCAAAUGUGCAAAUGUGUGUGUGUGAAUUGGACUAAAUUGUGUAGAAGUUAGCUUAGGUGACAAUAGCAUGAGUUAGUUUGGCAUUAGUUGAGAUCUUAGCAAAAUGCCAGCAAUAUUUUAUGUUUGCCUCUCUUUUGCUUGUUUGUUUCCCUUCAUAAUCUUCUCAUGUGGGUCAAAUGAAACAAAAUAAAUAAAAUGGCAAAGAAAAGAUUACUGGUAUUUAGUACAGAAAAGGAAGUUAGCUGUGAAUUUGUAAAUUGAUGAUUCUUUCAAAAAAGAUGUGAAGACUGAAGAUAUAAUAUACAUGUGCAUGAUGAUGAACAAGUGGAAAGAAAAUAAUACAUGAUGAUGAAGUUUUUUUUCUUUUCUAAAAUAUCUGCAUGUAAUUUGUUCAUGGAUGAUUGUGUUGUAGGCCAUAGUGAGAUUCUAGUUGACAUGUAUAUUGAGGGAGUAGUUCAAAUGGAAAUGAUUUAUUCAAAUCAAUGACUAUUUAUAGGGUGUCUUAUUUACUUGUUUUAUUAGUUUUCACAAUGCCAUGAACAAUAUAUAUGUAGCUCAAGGAAUCAAGGACGAGGGAUAUGCAACAAUGCUCAUCACAGUAAAAAUAUCAGCAGGUCAAGGCAUACCAUGGCACUGGCAAAAUGGGAUGGAAAGUCUUUACUCGGGACAUUCGGACUUAAAAGCCAGUCACCUUACCCCCAUGAAGCACUCCACUGAACAAGGAUCCAGAGAACGCCUAUCUUGGGAGAGGACCCAAGACGGCACGCAUUGCUAAUCAACUCUUUCCAUAAAAAAAUUAUUCCCUCUAGCAUGUUAUUAGGUCUGGUUUGGUCAACUUAACCUGUACUUAAUAUGAUCCACCAUUCAGUAAUCAGUAAGGUUGGUUACAUAUCAGAGAAUGUGUUAUGACAUUACUAGUAACUACUGUAAGCAUUUUUAAUUUGGUAAUCACCAUGUGUAUUGAUUCUGAAGCAAUAGUUUACAGCUAAGAUUACAGAAACAUAUAUCAGGUACUCAGAAGGUUCUAACAAGCAUAAUGUACUCUGUUCAGGUAAAGUGAGAUCACAUAUCAAACAAAGUUGUU
rnacentral:lncRNA from 1 species